GACGAACGCUGGCGGCGUGCUUAACACAUGCAAGUCGAACGGAAAGGCCCUGCUUUUGUGGGGUGCUCGAGUGGCGAACGGGUGAGUAACACGUGAGUAACCUGCCCUUGACUUUGGGAUAACUUCAGGAAACUGGGGCUAAUACCGGAUAGGAGCUCCUGCUGCAUGGUGGGGGUUGGAAAGUUUCGGCGGUUGGGGAUGGACUCGCGGCUUAUCAGCUUGUUGGUGGGGUAGUGGCUUACCAAGGCUUUGACGGGUAGCCGGCCUGAGAGGGUGACCGGCCACAUUGGGACUAAGAGACGCAGCAGAGGCCUACGGGAGGCAGCAGGGGGGAAUAUGACACAAUGGGCGGAAGCCUGAGGCGGAGACGCCGCGUGCGGGAUGACGGCUUUCGGGUUGUGAACAGCUUUCGCCUGUGACGAAGCGUGAGUGACGGUAAUGAGUAAAGAAGCACCGGCUAACUACGUG
rnacentral:rRNA from 1 species